rnacentral:tmRNA from 1 species
GGGGCCGUAAAGGUUUCGACGGGGGCUUUGAAGCCCGUUAAGCACGCAGAGUCCGCCUGAACUCUUCAAAACGGGCAAUUUUAAAAUUAAACGCAGAUUAUAGAUCUGAAUUAGUAGCUGCCUAAUCGCAGCUGCCGUCCUGCCGGGGAGCGCUGCGGCUCCGGUUCGGGCGUCAUUCAGCAGCCAACGCUUUCGGUGAGAGUUCUGUAGCCUUAAGCGCACUUAAAGAACUGCCGGAGGGCUAUCCUGUCGAUCGGAGAGUCCGAGGGGAGAUUUAAAAGACCGACUAAGCGUGUAGAAAGACGAGUGAAUGGGUUUUCGGACGGGGGUUCGACUCCCCCCGGCUCCACCA